rnacentral:misc_RNA from 1 species
GAUGAAGAACGUAGCGAAAUGCGAUAAGUAAUGUGAAUUGCAGAAUUCAGUGAAUCAUCGAAUCUUUGAACGCACCUUGCGCCCUUUGGCCAUUCCGAAGGGCAUGCCUGUUUGAGUAUCAUGAACACCUCAACUCUUUAUGGUUUUCCAUGAUGAGCUUGGACUCUGGGGGUUUUGCUGGCUCACAGUCGGCUCCUCUAAAAUGAAUCAGCUUACCAGUGUUUGGUGGGUAUCAUGGGUGUGAUAACUAUCUACGCUUGUGGUUUUUCCACCAGGUAACCUUCAGCAGUGGAGGUUCGCUGGAGCUCAUAGAUGUCUCUCCUCAGUGAGGACAGCCCUUUGAAUGUUUGAUCUCAAAUCAGGUAGGACUACCCGCUGAACUUAAGCAUAUCAUAAGCGGAGGA